rnacentral:lncRNA from 1 species
UGGGGUGGUAGAGACUAGAGAGUGUUUGAAAACUGAGUGAGGGCAUGCAUGCAUGUUGGUAGAGCCUCUAGUUGAGAGGUUUGUUCACCUUGGCUUGAAUAAUCUGGGUGUUGCAGAUCAUGUGAGUACUUCUUUAAAUGGUUCGGUACUCCCUUCAGUUUAAGGAAAUAAAAAGCCUUGGGGACGUUUUCGCCCAUGUUGUCUUCUACAAUUAUUUGUUUCUUCAUAAUGGUAAAACUUUUUAAAACAUUCAUACUUACUUAUAUGAUCAAUGAAGAUAUGCAUUGCCAUCUU